AGACAAUGUAACAAACGAAUUGACAAAUUUGUGGGUGAAAACAUGGCCAAAUUCUUUUGCAUGUUGUACAAUAGACCCGAAGGGAGUAUAGGUCCACUGUCCGUUAAACAAGCAAAUAUCUCAUCCCAACCGAACUUGUAAGUUGUUUUAUUAAUUGUAAUGAAAUAUUUGGAUACUUUAUUAUCGUUUGUUGUAAUAACUGAUAAAUGGUUGUAUUAUUUAAGAUAUCAUUGUGGAGUUAUCGUGUUAAAAGCCAUGGAAAUGUGGGAUGGAGAGGAUAGAUACAAUGGGAAAAGCAUGCCGGAGUACACAAAUGAGGAGUUGAGUCAAAUUAGGAAGAACUAUGUGAAAUAUUGGAUCCUAGACAACGACAACAUUCGACUAUUUGAUGCGUUGGAUGAAUAUGGGUUGUUGUAGGAUUUUGAUGGAUAUGUACAAAUGAUUAACAUAUUCAUUUCAUAUGUAUUUAGACGAACAGU